GUAACCGCUUCGGCGCCCUUCGCAGACCGAUCUCGGGGCUCAAAAUCUCGAUCGGUGAGCGAGGGAUCGUUUUCUUCGAUUUAGAUAUCUUAUUCUGUUCCUCCAGCAGCUGUGGUGGCAAUGGUGACUUCCCCCAACCAUCCAGAGCCAACAUUCACUUGCCUCCCACAAGCACCAGCAGUCCCAUUCCAUAGAUUGGUUCAUGAUAGAUCCAUUACCAGGCCAUAUCUCAGCAACCACACUCCUCUGACUUCCACCGCAGAUCUCUUGUGGCUUGAAUGGCCUCGCGAUAAAGCCAUGGAUGAGCGCAUGAUCGUGUCGGGCAAUGCCAGUGCACCGAAGGAAGUCGAAGGCAUCGUAAAGGACGGAAACGAGGAUCUCGAUGGGGGAGUCAUGGAGCCAUAGGGUCUAAUGGGUCAACUUGUCGUGCAAGUGGUUGGGGCAACUGUCGCUUGCAUAGUCGAGUACGUGAGUGAUGUCAUUAUGUCGCAAGUGCCUUGAAGUCGAAAGAAGAAGGGAGGGGGGGAAGGUGAGGGUGAUGGGACGGAUGUGAUGAUUCUAAAAAAUGUUUUGAUAUUUUA